GUUAGUGGCGGACGGGUGAGUAACGCGUGGGAAACCUGCCGUAGUACUCGGGGGAUAACACUUAGAAAUAGGUGCUAAUACCGCAUAAGCGCACAGAGCCGCAUGGCUCGGUGUGAAAAACUCCGGUGGUGCAAGAUGGACCCGCGUCUGAUUAGCUGGUUGGCGGGGUAACGGCCCACCAAGGCGACGAUCAGUAGCCGGCCUGAGAGGGUGAACGGCCACAUUGGGACUGAGACACGGCCCAAACUCCUACGGGAGGCAGCAG
rnacentral:rRNA from 1 species